CAUUGGCGCCGGGCGGUGGCGAUACUGCCUGAUUGCCAGGUUGUUGAACAGCCAUCACGUAGCUUCCAAAUCGAUGGACAGCUGGGGUAGGAACAGAUGUAGCAACGAAGGAUCUUCAUGCUCACCAAUUAUUCCUACAUUGCUGUCGGGCGGAGUGGAAGCGCGAGAGCGCUACACUGGGAUGGAGCUCGACCGCCACAGAUACCGCUCGGUUGCAAGAAAUGAAGCAAGGCAGCAUGGGGAGGGCGUCGGAUAUUUGAAGCAUUGCUAAGCACUAAUGCAAACUACAGUCGUAAUGGCUAAAGCUGAUACCAAUAUGAACUGCUACACUGAAACUACAGAUACGAGACUCGAGAGCCAAACACAAACCAUCAUCUGACAAAAAAAAUGCAAGAAUUGUAGUCAUCAUUUGGGAAAUACGAGCACAUACAUAUAUGUAAAUGAACCAAGAAUACAAUCAUGGUAAGAAAGAGCGGCACACAUAUCCUCUUCCUCCUUGCAUCCUCGACAUUACCGUCCUACCUAGGCGCUGAAAAAGAUGAAAAGGAGGGAACUGAAUUAGAAAGGGAUACAUGGCUAAGAGAUAAAGACGUGAAGAGACAGGGUUAGUAUUUACCUUUUCGAUGUGUACUGUUACUCUUGCGCCGACGAGGUUGCUAGUGUAGUGGUCACCCCCCGCCUCCUCCUCUCGCACCAGCGAGACACCGUCGCUUCAUCCUGCACAUCCACCUUUGUAUCCUUGAGCCGUUUGCACCGCCUCCUUGUACUAAUCGCCCGCCUACACCAUAACUAAGGCUCUCUCUAUCGGCAUCGCCACCUCCUUGAUUCAUGGACAGACAACAAAAAGAACAGCCGGGCUUAGCACUAUCAAUUUCAAGGAAGGAGGGAGGGGAAUCAAAGUCUAGGGUUACACUUACGAUGAACUGUUACUCGAUGAAGACCAUCGGCCUUAAUCCUUGCGCCGCCGGCGGUUCUGCACUCGAUCCCAUUGCGCGCUAGGGCGCCUCGGCUGGACCCGAAUCACCUGCCUCCGCUCGACACCGUCGACGCUCGAGCGCAUCGGUUGCAUCCGAAUCCUUCGCUUGAUCCCAGCGCACGGAUGGACUCGAUCCAUCCCUCACCUCGGCCGUAGCGGUGCUCGAAUCCGGACUGGAUCAAUCGGCUCCUCUCUG
rnacentral:lncRNA from 1 species